rnacentral:rRNA from 1 species
GAUGAACGCUAGCGGCAGGCUUAACACAUGCAAGUCGAGGGGCAGCGCGAUGUAGCAAUACAUUGGCGGCGACCGGCGCACGGGUGCGUAACACGUAUGGAACUUACCCUUUACUGGGAGAUAGCCCGGAGAAAUCCGGAUUAAUAUCCCAUAAUAAACGAAGUGGCAUCACUUUGUUUGAAAGCUCCGGCGGUAAAGGAUGGCCAUGCGCACGAUUAGCUAGUAGGUGAGGUAACGGCUCACCUAGGCUACGAUCGUUAGGGGGCCUGAGAGGGUUAUCCCCCACACUGGUACUGAGACACGGACCAGACUCCUACGGGAGGCAGCAGUGAGGAAUAUUGCGCAAUGGAGGCAACUCUGACGCAGCCAUGCCGCGUGCAGGAAGAAGGCGCUACGCGUUGUAAACUGCUUUUAACCGGGAGAAGCCCUCCGACGUGUCGGAGGUUGACGGUACCGGAGGAAUAAGCACCGGCUAACUUCGUGCCAGCAGCCGCGGU